GGCCUCCUGCUGCUUACCACAGGCUGUGUUCUUACAUUUACUGUAUAGAAAGAGGAGGCAGAAUAAACCCAUCCCAUACAUGCCUCAGCCCAGGCGAACUUAAUCACGUGGCCACAGGGCCAACCCCCAAAUUUCUCCUUUUUAUAGGGACACCAGU
ensembl:snoRNA